UUAAAGCUAGCCUAUAUACCAAUUUAACUGGACCUUAUAAAUCUAAUUUAUACCAUAAUAUUUAAUCAAAACAUUUUUUAACCUUCUAGUAUGGGUGACAGAACAAUAACCCAAGAGCAAUAGCUUAUGUACCGCAAGGGAAAGCUGAAAAAGAAGUGAAAUAAAUCAUUAAAGUACUAAAAAGCAGAGAUUACACCUCGUACCUUUUGCAUCAUGAUUUAGCUAGAAAAACUAGGCAAAAAGAUCUUAAGUCUAUCUUCCCGAAACUAAACGAGCUACUCCGAAGCAGCAUGAUAGAGCUAACCCGUCUCUGUGGCAAAAGAGUGGGGUGACUUCCGAGUAGCGGUGAAAAGCCUACCGAGUUUAGUGAUAGCUGGUUACCCAAGAAAAGAACUUUAGUUCUGCAUUAAUUCUUUAUUAUCUAGACAAGAAUUUCUCGUCAAAGAAAACUAUAAAAAUUAAUAGUUAUUUAGAAGAGGUACAGCCCUUCUAAACUAAGAUACAUCUUUUAAAGGUGGGAAAUGAUCAUAAUUAUUAAGGUUCCCACCUCAGUGGGCCUAAAAGCAGCCACCUGUUAAGUAAGCGUCGCAGCUCCAGUUUAAUACUAAACCUAUAAUUUAGAUAUUUACUCAUAACCCCCUUUAUCCUAUUGGGUUAUUUUAUAAAAAUAUAAAAGAACUUAUGCUAAAAUGAGUAAUAAAGAGAUUAAAUCUCUCCCGACAUGAGUGUACGUCAGAAAGAAUUAAAUCACUGACAAUUAAUCGACCCCAGACUGAGGUCAUUAUACCAUUAAAUCAUUAACUAGAAAACCUUAUUCUUCUAUUCGUUAAUCCCACACAGGAGUGUCACCAGGAAAGA
rnacentral:rRNA from 1 species